rnacentral:rRNA from 1 species
UACGUAGGGUGCGAGCGUUGUCCGGAAUUAUUGGGCGUAAAGAGCUUGUAGGCGGUCUGUCGCGUCUGCUGUGAAAAUCCGGGGCUCAACCCCGGACUUGCAGUGGGUACGGGCAGACUAGAGUGUGGUAGGGGAGACUGGAAUUCCUGGUGUAGCGGUGAAAUGCGCAGAUAUCAGGAGGAACACCGAUGGCGAAGGCAGGUCUCUGGGCCACUACCGACGCUGAGGAGCGAAAGCGUGGGGAGCGAACAGG